rnacentral:lncRNA from 1 species
CUAUUUUUCCCGAUCAAAUACUGGGAACUAUUUCAAAUUCUGUUUUCUUCCUGUUUUGGCAUUACAACACGCUUUCGAGUGAUACAUGUUCGUUAGAUGUUUCUCCUUAACGUCUCCCCAACUUGGAUCGAGCUGAAACAAACAGGAGCUGAGGUUGCUUGUUUAAGUCAAAGCUUCAGGAGAUCACCAUAUUUUCAGGACCAGUAAUUUCUGUCUCAAGCUCACUGUCUGACUGCUCUGCUUCCCAGUGAGAAGGCACCACAGAGAGGUGGGGGGAUCUGCUGAGGAGCCAUGGCCAUGCUCCAUAGCCAUGCACCUGCUGAGGAGCCACAGCCUGCACCAUAACAUCACACUGGAUGCAAAAGAAAGAAGCCUUAAUCUCCUUACUGGAAAUUGUACUAUUUAUGCAGCAAAUCCUGCCUCUGAAAUUGCUUGAGAUCACAAGUUACGUAACGUAAACAGAUGGAGUUGGACCAUUUUUUUGGUAUGUCAAUUCAUAUUAUAAUCUGAGCAGGCUGUGAUCGUUUAUCAGCUCAU